rnacentral:lncRNA from 12 species
GCAUCUUCUUCUCCAGGUUCCGGCAGCCAAGGUCGGGGAAGGGCGGGUCCGCGCGCGGGUCCCGCGCAAACCCGGAGAUCCCAGAGCCCGGGCGGGGGAGGUCUGCACCCGCGAGGGCGCCGCCGGGCCUCGCGAAGCCGCCGCGGCCGGCAGAGGGCGCCCGGGCCCGCCGAGCUCGCGGUGCUGGUCGGGGCGCUCCCGCGCGCGGGGCGCAGGCGGCAGGUCCGCGGUGGCCGAGGCGCGCGAGGAGCCCGCCGCCCGGGCGGAGCUGGUGAGCGCACCCGCCAGGCGCGCCUGUGCGCGGAGCCCGCUCGGACAGCGAGGGCGGUGAGGACAGGCGCCGCGGCCCGCCUCGCCCUACCUGGGGACACCUGGAGACCGCGCAGGUCGGACGCAGGCCGUUCAGGGCUUGGUGUGCGUGGACGGUGGGCAGGGCGCCAGCUUGCUUCGGUCUUUGGGAAGGGCUCGGGGUCUACCCCGGGGGAAGUCGGCCGAGCUUCGCCUUCAGGCUUACCCGAGGAGCCAGCCCCCGGCUGCGCCCGCCAGGCAGGAGGCAGGAGGCAGGAGGCAGGACUCGGGCGCACCUCCGGGGCGUCGUGGAGCUGCGGCGCCCAGCGAAGCCGCUUUCCGAGCUCUGGGGCUUUGGGAGAGACAAGCUCAAGGCAAGGACGUUUGGAGAGCUGCCGUGGAGCUGGGGCUUGGAGGAGUGAGGCAUGUAUUUUCAGCUGCACCUUCUAAAGGGGAGACUCUGUCACCACCAGAGAGGCAACAGCUCCCAAAUAUGACUACAGAUGACUAGAUCCACAGAGGCCUGGGAGUCUGGAUUGAUAGUUUAGAAUAUGCUAAAAAGCCAGGGCUUUCCACAGAGAAUUGAAGGGGCAGCUGGUCAACACGACAGCGACCUGGAGCAAGGGAGUCAGAAGACAGUUGUAGCAAGCAAGACGGACCUUCCGAGGGGCUGACUUGGGUCGCUGAGGGCAGGCUCCUGCCACGCAAGCUGUUGCAGCCCUGUGAUGGUGAGGUCCUCCACCCAGGGGAGCGAGUGGGGCUGUGCAAGGGGGCUGCCUGGUGAGUGAGAACUCCUGCAGGUCUGCCUGCCCCCUAAUCCCUGCUUAGGAACUGGAGGGUGUCAGAGCCCCCU